rnacentral:rRNA from 1 species
UACGUAGGGGGCAAGCGUUGUCCGGAAUUACUGGGCGUAAAGAGCGUGUAGGCGGCUUGGUAGGUCCGCUGUGAAAACUCGAGGCUCAACCUCGAGAUGUCGGCGGAAACCACUUGGCUAGAGUCCGGAAGAGGAGAGUGGAAUUCCUGGUGUAGCGGUGAAAUGCGUAGAUAUCUGGAGGAACACCGGUGGCGAAGGCGGCAUCCUGGACCGACAUUGACGCUGAGGCGCGAAAGCUAGGGGAGCAAACGGG